AGUGAACGCUGGCGGUGGGCCUAACACAUGCAAGUCGAACGGCAGCACAGUAAGAGCUUGCUCUUACGGGUGGCGAGUGGCGGACGGGUGAGGAAUACAUCGGAAUCUACUUUUUCGUGGGGGAUAACGUAGGGAAACUUACGCUAAUACCGCAUACGACCUACGGGUGAAAGCAGGGGAUCUUCGGACCUUGCGCGAUUGAAUGAGCCGAUGUCGGAUUAGCUAGUUGGCGGGGUAAAGGCCCACCAAGGCGACGAUCCGUAGCUGGUCUGAGAGGAUGAUCAGCCACACUGGAACUGAGACACGGUCCAGACUCCUACGGGAGGCAGCAGUGGGGAAUAUUGGACAAUGGGCGCAAGCCUGAUCCAGCCAUACCGCGUGGGUGAAGAAGGCCUUCGGGUUGUAAAGCCCUUUUGUUGGGAAAGAAAAGCAGCAGGCUAAUACCCCGCUGUUCUGACGGUACCCAAAGAAUAAGCACCGGCUAACUUCGUG
rnacentral:rRNA from 1 species